rnacentral:rRNA from 1 species
ACCGCGACCCCAGGUCAGCCGGGACUAACCCCCUAUUA